UACAGAGGUCUCAAGCGUUGUUCGGAUUCAUUGGGCGUAAAGGGCGCGUAGGCGGCCCGCUAAGUCGAACGUGAAAUCCCCAGGCUCAACCUGGGGAACUGCGUCCGAUACUGGCAGGCUUGAAUCCGGGAGAGGGAUGUGGAAUUCCAGGUGUAGCGGUGAAAUGCGUAGAUAUCUGGAGGAACACCGGUGGCGAAGGCGGCAUCCUGGACCGGUAUUGACGCUGAGGCGCGAAAGCUAGGGGAGCAAACGGGG
rnacentral:rRNA from 1 species